rnacentral:misc_RNA from 1 species
AAACAGAGGAAGAUAGAGAAGAAUAGAAAGAAGAUAAGUCAACUUUGAAGAUCAAACAUAUAAAUAAUUAGGUAACUAUAUGCCUGUAUAAAAGCACCACAAGAUAUCAUCAAGGUCAUGCUUUUGAUAUAAGAUUGUUUCGGAAAUAUAUCACUUUCAAGAGCAAAUGGGUAUAAAGACUUGACAAUAUUAAGGAUUAGUUGAGUUGAUUGCAUAUUUUGAAAUCACAUAUUGUUAAAUUUGAAGAGAGAGUUGGUCAAAUUACAAUUUA